rnacentral:rRNA from 1 species
UACGUAGGGCGCAAGCGUUAUCCGGAAUUAUUGGGCGUAAAGAGCUCGUAGGCGGUUUGUCGCGUCUGCCGUGAAAGUCCGGGGCUCAACUCCGGAUCUGCGGUGGGUACGGGCAGACUAGAGUGAUGUAGGGGAGACUGGAAUUCCUGGUGUAGCGGUGAAAUGCGCAGAUGUCAGGAGGAACACCGAUGGCGAAGGCAGGUCUCUGGGCAUUAACUGACGCUGAGGAGCGAAAGCGUGGGGAGCGAACAGG